rnacentral:rRNA from 1 species
UACGAAGGGGGCUAGCGUUGCUCGGAAUUACUGGGCGUAAAGGGCGCGUAGGCGGACAGUUUAGUCAGAGGUUAAAGCCCAGGGCUCAACCUUGGAAUCGCCUUUGAUACUGGCUGUCUUGAGUACGGGAGAGGUGUGUGGAACUCCGAGUGUAGAGGUGAAAUUCGUAGAUAUUCGGAAGAACACCAGUGGCGAAGGCGACACACUGGCCCGUUACUGACGCUGAGGCGCGAAAGCGUGGGGAGCGAACAGG